rnacentral:snoRNA from 1 species
GUAUAAUGACGAAACCCAUGCGUGUCAACUGACUCUGUAAACUCCUUCGUGUUGAUACUCUGGUUGGCGUUCUGCUAGCUUGAGCACUCGGCGCAGUAGGAGUCCAGAGACAUGAUCAUAACUCACUUCUGAAUAC